UACCGGAAAAGAAACAAACAUCGCACAAUUGGCAGAAAUACGUCAGAAAGCCAAGGACAAACACGUUGUUGCGGCGGCUACAGAAAACAAAUAAUAUGGUGCAGCAGCAACAGAUCGGAGCAACAAAAAACUUGAUC
ensembl:ncRNA K03C7.4 ncRNA